AUCAAAUUGACCAAUAGGCGGGGUUAACCCCAGGAGCAGCAGUUACACCGCGUCAAUCAAUCAUAACGGACACAGAUUUCAAAGGCAGCAGGAUGAGAGUUAACUAUGUAUCAGGUCUGUGUUCAUCAAGACAUGAAGACUCUGGAGUGGGACAAAAGAAGGAUGAUGGGGUGUAUAUUCCAAUAGACACAUUAAGUCACAUUGUGAUUUCAGUGAAAGCAGAUAAAUACAGAGGGCUGGACAGUGGUUUCAUUCGUUAG